rnacentral:rRNA from 1 species
AGAAUCAACGCUGGCGGCGUGCCUAACACAUGCAAGUCGAACGCGAAAGUGGAGCAAUCCAUGAGUAGAGUGGCGAACGGGUGAGUAACACGUGGGUGACCUACCUUCGAAUGGGGGAUAACGUCCCGAAAGGGACGCUAAUACCGCAUAACAUCCUGCCUUUGAACAGGUGGAGAUCAAAGCCGGGGAUCGCAAGACCUGGCGCGAGAAGAGGGGCCCGCGUCCGAUUAGCUAGUUGGUGAGGUAACGGCUCACCAAGGCUCCGAUCGGUA